CAAUGUUGAAAAGUAAACACGGGCGUUUUGCAGAGGCGCCAUUUUUCAUGAACACCGUGAGCUCCUGUGUGUCUGAAAUCUUCUGUGACCCAAAGGUUUCUAAGCAUGGAACAGAUCGUCGAGACGUUGUUUGGCGAGAUGUUUUUACAUCAGAAUAACCUUCAAAACCGGAUGAUUCUCGACUUAUUUGGCUGGUGAUUGUGGUGUUUUUUCAAAAUAGCACUUAACUUCCACAAAAAAAAAAGCAAUACUUUGAUUUCUGCCAGUUUCAUCUAAGUUGAUAUACAUUCAACAAGUUUUAGCUUUAUAGCUGCAAAAAGGGCGGGACUGUGUGUGUGAGAGAGAGAAUAUAGCUGUAAAAGACAGAGUCCUUGUCAACCUCUGCCCCCUCCUUCUUCCUCCUUUGAAAUUGACAGGUUUCCUAUUAGUCAAAUGCCGGCUUGGGGUCAAUCCAUCAAGCAUUCUGCAUGUCCAGUGAGUCCUCCUUACCCCCCCCGCUGGUCUAUGAAGCAGCAGUAAUGAUCGCAGAGAACCAGGGGCCGAGAGAUCUAUCAGGUCCACAACUGAAGUACCGAUAUAUGAGACGAGCGGGCAUAUCUCACCCCCCGUUUGGCCUGUUUGCUUCUGUGUGUGUGUGUGUGUGUGUGUGCGUGCUGAGGCACUGCAGCGCGGCGUCGUGCAUGCACAGUGGGUCUCGCCGCGUGAGGCUCUCUGCAGUAGGUCCCAGUGUGCUGUACAAUAAUGACCUGUCAGAAACGCAGGCCUUCGAAAAACACGGAUAAUCUACAGAGGCUAUCUGAACUAAAUGAAGCCAAGCCAAACCCCCCCAGAGACCCUCGAAACGCAUAAUUUAUUCCACUGGUCCCUUAUCAAAACUGACACACACCGAAAUAGCACAUGCUCGGCUCGGGGAGGAUGACUUCUGUCGUACACGCUGCUGUAGUUUUGGCCCAGGGAUGAAUAUUAUUCUAUAAUGAUGCCUCCUUGUUGUUUUAUAAUUCCAUAAUCUCUUGGUUACUUUUUUUUCAAGAUUUUGGAAUAACAUCUUCCCUGUUGUUCCCUUCCCUGCUUGCACAUAUCACAUAUGGCGCAUAUCGCUUGUUUUGGAAAAAGAUGAGGUAAGGGGGAAAUAAGGAAGUCACUGUGCUGUGGGUCUCAGUUUGUUUGUGUGUGAUGAAUUGAAUUUGAGGAUACUGUGACAGAUCAAUGUUAUGGCUGGUACUCAACCUGUGGCAUGACGCCUGUUUCAUUUCAUGUGGACCAAAAUGAAAAACCUCUGGUUGUUGGCGUUGGGGGAGCAGCUUCAAAGAGGCUGUUUGUGAUCACAAAUAAUUGAUUGAAAUUAAAGAUGCAAAAGAUUUCAAGUCAAAACACAUCAUCAUACAUCACAAAGUGAUGAUGCAAACUCGGACUAAAAGGGAGACACAGAUGCCUUUUACGGUGUCAGAACAUAAGACACUCAAUGCAGAUAUAUAUAUAUAUAUAUAUAUGCAAUGUAGUAUUGCAAAUGAAAUGUCGCAAAUCACAUAUAACAUAUGUGAUUUUACUAGAUACUAGUAUUGUUUUGCAAGUAUACAAACCCAAGAAUGAAACACCAAAGACCACUAGUAGACAUAUGUGUGCUUUAAUUAUUUAAUGGCUUUAAAUUGAAUUCAAAUCAGGAAAACAAGCUGAAAAUAUCCAGAAUCAUAUUUCAAGACGCAUCAAAUCCAGCCCAAAAAAUAUUUCGGCCCGUGAAGCAGGAGGAGUGGGCAGUCCGCUCUAAUGCAGCAUGAUCCAUGUGUGAUUAAGUCUUGUAAACGUUCUAAAAACAGAACUUGUCAUCAGUCAUCGCCACUUUGGGCUGCCAAAAAGCUCCCUCAUGCAGUCCGAGGCAAACGUAGAGAAGAGCCCAUGCUGAAUCUCCCGCGAGGUGAGUAAUGCCUUUUUAAGACGGGCCUGUCAGCUGUAAGCGACGUCGCAUCUGAACCCUCAGUCUGCCAGAAUGGCUUUUUGUCGGAAUCUUCGCCCCAUGGUAAUCCUAUUUCGGUGAAAUAAUCAGACUCGGUAAAGCUCCGAAUGUCAGUGAACCUAAACUGUCAGCAUUCAAUUAGGCAAAGAUCUGGAUCUCCGCUUGGCACAGCUCGUCAAGGCGAAUAAUACAGUCUCCGUCUCCCCUGAAGGGGAGAGCCGCCUGGAUGGAGACCUUUUGUCUGGAGGAUUGACACAGGUUGAUGCAACAGGCCAAAGCUUUUGUUGACGCUGUUUCAGGUUUCCCCAGGCCCCGGGUCGCCGAGCCCGAUCACUAACGUCGUGUCCUCAGAGAUACCCGCGGCUGCCCACCGGAGCGCUGUAGCUUGUGUCAGAGGGCACCGCCUCGCCUUCACACAGACGCCGCGUCGGUUUCAGCUGAGUGCCGUCGUGGCACUCGCCAUGUGUGGCUGGAUACCUGCUUCCCAGAAUCCAUCCCUCCCUCUCCUUAAACCCGGCACAGGGGACCGUCUCCCAAGAUUGGAAACAGAUCACACGGGGAAAGCUGGGCUACCUGCAGUGAUUCUUUCCUGCCCCGCUGGACCAUGAUUGGCAAGUUCUGGAGCCCUGCCACGAAAGGGGGAACGGACGCAUUUCUGCAGAUGACUGUGAGGCGAGCAGAGAGCAGAGAUUGAAUUCUCGCUCCCUUCCACCUGAGCGUGUGCGGUCGGGGAAACGGGAAAGCGUGGACUACACGACACAGUGUGCGCGCCAGGCCGUGCUGGAAGCUGAAGGAGGAGGAGCAUCAGUCUGCAGGGUUCUACUAC